UAAAAAAAAAAAUUGAAAUGUAUUUUAAAAUGUAUUUGUUUAUAAAAAAUGUCAGGUCCAAUCUGAAGGGUGCCUGAAAGCACAAUGGAUAGAAAUCAUAAACGGUUGAGAAUAAUUCUUCAAAAAGUAAGUCUCAUAAGUGAUUAAAAAAAUGUUUUUGUUAAUUCUGGGGCUUUCUCUCUUGAUAUGUAAUGGGGCUAUCUUCUUGGUAGUAUAGCCUAUAUGCUGUAAAAACAGAUUGACAUGAUUUAUAGUUGGAAAAGUGGGCAUAAUAAUGGAGGGCUUAAGUUAAAUGUAUUUCCUUAUGAUCCUGUACCCCAGGCUAGGACCCUCCAAGCUAGUGCUGGAGAGCAGGUGCUCCAGACAGACGUCAUUUCUGCUGGCCAUGAUGGAGUAAGGCUGCCAGCCCUGGGAGACUGCCCCAAGGACAGCCCUCUAAAGGUAAGAAACAGCUUUUAGUUCUGAUGCAAAACGUCUGGUUGUAACGGAGACCAGUUGGUUGUAAUCUAGUAAUAUGAUGUGUUGAAAACCAGUUUACAACGAGAUAAUAACACCAUUAAGACACAUGGACCACCUACUAGUUAGAACUAAUAGUAUUGGAAUUCUGAUUGUAAAUAUAAGGUUAUGAUUUAUAGUUGGAAAAGUGGGCAUAAUAAUGGAGGGCUUAAGUUAAAUGUAUUUCCUUAUGAUCCUGUACCCCAGGCUAGGACCCUCCAAGCUAGUGCUGGAGAGCAGGUGCUCCAGACAGACGUCCAUUCUGCUGGCCAUGAUGGAGUAAGGCUGCCAGCCCUGGGAGACUGCCCCAAGGACAGCCCUCUAAAGGUGUCCUGCCAGCUAUCAAGAAGGGCACUAAAGUUACUCAAAUGGAGACAACAGAAACCCCAGGUCCCCUGACACCUAAUGAUGGGGAGAUAAUGAUCUCCUCUCCAUCUGUUGAUGACCUCCUGACCCCAAAGAGUGAUGUGACGUCCGAGGCUAAGAGCGAUGAUGCCUCCUGUCCAAUUUCACCUGAGGCGUUCUCUCUAACAAAC